rnacentral:lncRNA from 1 species
CAUGGCUACUCCAUUGAAUCUGUGAUCUUCAGAGAAGCCUGUUUCCACUUGCUAAAGAAGUAUCCUUGAUGUUGUUCUUUUGUUGUUAGACAAACGGACAGUCCUAAAGAAAUGUCAGACUAUGAGCAGACAUUCUAUCAUUUAUUAAAGUAUGGGUAACUUUCCUACUGAGAAUAAGCCAAUAGUUUUGGACUUAUAGGUGAGAACGAAACAGGAAUCAGGGAACUGAGGGAAAUCUAUAAGAUGAGAAAUCCAAGAAGUAUAGAAUCAAAUGUUACCGAGUUAAAACAGGAGCUGCAAUUUUUAAUAGCUCAGCAGCAUCUGAAUAAGGCACAAGACAUAAACCACAUCUUCAUAGGGGGAAAAAGAGACUCUGCAAAGAUUCUGCAGUUCAAGGGAAAAAGUUUGGACAGCGUUCAUCAGCAGAGCCAGGCCUAGCUUCCCUGCUCAGAGACGGAGAGAAAACACAACAGACUGAGUAGAGAGAGCUGAAGAGCACGAUUCAGCCAAUGAUCACGAGGAUGCGAAGAGACCGCAAGGUACAAUGAGCCAAAAACCAUGCACCUGAGACCCAGCCUCCCAGGCAGCAAACACCCCUGCCAUCGCACGUGGCCGCUCCCUGCCCGUCCAGGUCACUGCCACCUUCUGCCCCAUCAGCAGCAAGUCUUUCCUUUCACAUGCAUCUGGGGGAGGUAGCCCCCCGACGUCCUAUUUUAUUACCAGGUGGGGAGAUGAAUGGCCCUUUGGUAAAUCCAGAAACACAGAGUGACCCUAUCAAAUCUUUUUUAAAAAUUGUAAUAUUCGUCUUCAUACUCCUGCUGCAAGACCAAAAUAAAGUCCA